CGAUUUUCGCAAUGCCCGAAAGGGUGAACGAGCAACGCCGCGUGUGGGAAGAAGGCCUUCGGGUUGUAAACCACUGUCGGGAGUUAGGAAAUGCAGGUGCGUUAAUAGCGCACUUGCUUGACUAAGGCUCCAGAGGAAGCCACGGCUAACUCUGUGCCAGCAGCCGCGGUAAUACAGAGGCGGCAAGCGUUGUUCGGAAUUAUUGGGCGUAAAGAGCACGUAGGCGGCCUUGCAAGUCAGUUGUGAAAGCCUUCCGCUUAACGGAAGAACGGCAUCUGAUACUACAGGGCUUGAGUACGGGAGGGGAGAGUGGAACUUCUGGUGGAGCGGUGAAAUGCGUAGAUAUCAGAAGGAACGCCGGCGGCGAAAGCGACUCUCUGGUCCAUAACUGACGCUGAGUGUGCGAAAGCUAGGGGAGCAAACGGGAUUAGAUACCCCGGUAGUCCUAGCCGUAAACGAUGGGCACUAAGUAGAGGGGUUUU
rnacentral:rRNA from 1 species